CACUCCUACGGGAGGCAGCAGUGGGGAAUAUUGGACAAUGGGCGCAAGCCUGAUCCAGCCAUGCCGCGUGAGUGAUGAAGGCCCUAGGGUUGUAAAGCUCUUUUACCGGUGAAGAUAAUGACGGUAACCGGAGAAGAAGCCCCGGCUAACUUCGUGCCAGCAGCCGCGGUAAUACGAAGGGGGCUAGCGUUGUUCGGAUUUACCGGGCGUAAAGCGCACGUAGGCGGACUAUUAAGUCAGGGGUGAAAUCCCGGGGCUCAACCCCGGAACUGCCUUUGAUACUGGUAGUCUUGAGUUCGAGAGAGGUGAGUGGAAUUCCGAGUGUAGAGGUGAAAUUCGUAGAUAUUCGGAGGAACACCAGUGGCGAAGGCGGCUCACUGGCUCGAUACUGACGCUGAGGUGCGAAAGCGUGGGGAGCAAACAGGAUUAGAAACCCCUGUAGUCCCAUGAU
rnacentral:rRNA from 1 species